UUCCGGUUGAUCCUGCCGGACCUCACUGCUAUCGGGGUGAGACUAAGCCAUGCAAGUCGCGCGUCUCCAGACUAUGGUGGAGAAGCGGCGUACGGCUCAGUAAAACAUGGUUAACUUACCCUCAAGACGGAGAUAACUCCGGGAAACUGGGGCUAAUAUCUGGUAGAUGACGCUGUCUGGAAUGAUACGUCGUUUAGAAGGCGCGGGAACCAUGUUUCCCGCGUCGCUUGAGGAUAGGACCAUGUCCGAUCAGGCUGUUGGUGGGGUAGCGGCCCACCAAACCGAUAACCGGUACGGGCCGUGGGAGCGGUAGCCCGGAGAUGGAUCCUGAGACAAGGAUCCAGGCCCUACGGGGCGCAGCAGGCGCGAAAACUCCGCAAUGCGCGAAAGCGUGACGGGGUCACCCCGAGUGUUGUCUGCAGAAGACAACUUUUCCCCGGUUUACAAAGCCGGGGGUAAUAAGGGGAGGGCAAGCCUGGUGUCAGCCGCCGCGGUAAUACCAGCUCCCCGAGUGGUGAGGACGAUUAUUGGGCCUAAAGCGUCCGUAGCCGGCUUGGCAAGUUUCCCGUCAAAUCCGACGACAUAAUCGCCGGACCGCGGGAAAUACUACCUAGCUAGGAGGCGGGAGAGGCCGGCGGUACUUACGGGGUAGGGGUGAAAUCCAUUAAUCCCGUGAGGACCACCAGUGGCGAAGGCGACCGGCCAGAACGCGCUCGACGGUGAGGGGCGAAAGCUGGGGGAGCGAACCGGAUUAGAUACCCGGGUAGUCCCAGCUGUAAACGAUGCGGGCUAAGUGUCGAGGUGGCUAUCGAGCUACUCCGGUGCUGCAGGAAGCCGUUAAGCCCGCCGCCUGGGGAGUACGGCCGCAAGGUUGAAACUUAAAGGAAUGCGGGGGAGCACACAAGGGUGAGCUGCG
rnacentral:rRNA from 1 species